rnacentral:rRNA from 1 species
GAUGAACGCUGGCGGCGUGCCUAAUACAUGCAAGUCGAGCGAACGGACGAGAAGCUUGCUUCUCUGAUGUUAGCGGCGGACGGGUGAGUAACACGUGGAUAACCUACCUAUAAGACUGGGAUAACUUCGGGAAACCGGAGCUAAUACCGGAUAAUAUUUUGAACCGCAUGGUUCAAAAGUGAAAGACGGUCUUGCUGUCACUUAUAGCUGGAUCCGCGCUGCAUUAGCUAGUUGGUAAGGUAACGGCUUACGAAGGCAACGAUGCAUAGCCGACCUGAGAGGGUGAUCGGCCACACUGGAAGGGGGACACGGUCCAGACGCCUACGGGAGGCAGCAGUAGGGAAUGUGCCGCAGUGGGCGAGAGCAUGACGGAGCAACGCCGCGUGAGUGAUGAAGGUCUUCGGAUCGUAAAACUCUGUUAUUAGGGAAGAACAGAUGUGUAAGUAACUGAGCACAUCUUGACGGUACCUAAUCAGAAAGCCACGGCUAACUACGUG